rnacentral:tRNA from 1 species
GCCUGAGUGGCGAAACUGGUAGACGCGCCAGACUCAAAAUCUGGUUUACGAGAGUAAGUGUCGGUUCGACUCCGACCUCAGGCACCA